rnacentral:tRNA from 1 species
GGAGAGGUGGCCGAGUGGUUGAAGGUGCUCGCUUGGAAAGCGAGUGUACUUGAAAAGGUACCGGGGGUUCGAAUCCCUUCCUCUCCG